GGGCCCGCACAAGCGGUGGAGCAUGUGGUUUAAUUCGAUGAUACGCGAGGAACCUUACCAGGGCUUAAAUGGAAAAUGACAGGGGCAGAGACGCCCCCUUCUUCGGACAUUUUUCAAGGUGCUGCAUGGUUGUCGUCAGCUCGUGCCGUGAGGUGUCAGGUUAAGUCCUAUAACGAGCGCAACCCCUACCGUUAGUUGCCAGCGAGUAAUGUCGGGGACUCUAACGGAACUGCCGGUGCAAACCGUGAGGAAGGUGGGGACGACGUCAAAUCAUCACGGCCCUUACGUCCUGGGCCACACACGUGCUACAAUGGUAGGUACAGAGGGAAGCCACCCCGCGAGGGGGAGCGGAUCUAUAAAACCUAUCUCAGUUCGGAUUGAAGGCUGCAACUCGCCUUCAUG
rnacentral:rRNA from 1 species